CCAGGGCUCGGGGAGCUCGUCACCGGCCGCCCCGAGGGCACGGGGGAGCCUCGUGCGCGCGCGGCGGGGCCUGGCACGGCCGCUGCCUCCCGACCCCCCCCGCCGGGCUGGGCAGCCCUGGAAGUCCCUGGAAAUCCCUGCCGAAUCCUGUGUCGCCGCCGCCCACUUGUCUCCCGUGGGCGGCUGAGGAUGGAAAACACCGUGCUGUCGCGCGGGAGGGCCGAGCCGCGGGGGGCGGAGCGGCGGCAGGGGACGUGCGGCUGCGCCGGAGGCCCGGAUUGAACAACAUGCGCAAGCCCAUGAGAGAAAGAUGUAUUGUUGAAGAUGGAGAUCUGGAAACAAGGACCAUUCGCAGAAAGCAGCAGAUAACAAGACUAACAAAGGCUCAGUAUUUGCGGCAGAAGAUUCCUAUUGGAGGAAAAAGAUACUAAAAAGACUAAAAGUAUUAACUAAAUAGCAUAAGCAACACGAGAUUGAUAACCAGUAGUGGAUAGAAUACUAAUUAAUGUAAUUUGGAAACAACAGUAAUUUCUUUCUUUGUUAAGAAUGUAUAAAUAGGUGAAAGAGUAAUGUGUUGGUAUCUGUAUGGACACAGGAUUUGUCGUGGCCACGUGCACACCCAGUGGUGCAAAUAAAGCAACGCCUUGUUUUCUAACACUGAAAAGAUGAUGUUAGGGGAUUCUUUUAUUCCCGACGAUUUUGGAGGUAUUUGACAAUGACUGAAGGACCCAAGGGAAUGUCAUGAAGCUGUGUCACCGGAAGGCUUAAGUUGGAUAUUUGAGAGAGGUUAUUCACUUAGAGGUUUGUUGGGAACUGGAAGAGGCUCCACAGGGGAGUGAUUACGACACCAAGCCUGACAGAGUUCAAGAAGUGUUUGGAUAAUGCUCUCAAGCCCAAAGUGUGAUUCUUGAGGUGGUCCUGUGAAGGCCUAGGAGGUGGGACUUUGAUGAUCUUUGUGGGUCCCUUCUGACUUGGGAUAUUCUAUGAAUUUGGGAAAGGAAGAAAUACUUUGGAAUGGAAUAGACAGGGAAUAAGUGGAAGUCGAGGCAGCGUGGGGCCCAAGUACAGGCUAGAGAAGCCCAAGGUGAUGAAGAGUGUUGGGUCAUCCUGAGCCCUGAUCUGAGCUGAGGUUUCUCAGGCAUCAUCUCAUGAUUUUGGCCUGGAGGAAUGAUUAGAGAUUUGGGGAGUCAGUGUGGAAAGUAGGCUCUGCUGAUGUUUGGAAGAAUUAGAAAUUGUGCAGGUGUCAGGACUUGUAGCAGCUUGGCUAAUCUGUUUUCAUUGAGGAAAGGAAUGAGAAACGCCUGCGGUCACUAUCAAAGAAGGGAUGAUAUUCACACUUGUGGAGCAGUAAGUUUGUAUUCACUGAAUGAUCAGGCAAAAGGUGUAGUGUUUAAGGAUUUCAGGCUACUGGAUGUGAAAACCUGAAGAUCUAGAGUGGAUGUUAAACUAAUACAGUAAUUUAGAUAACUUGGUGACAUUUAUAAUAAUAAUUUACUCUGGAAUGGUGUAAACACUGAGUGUCUUGUGAAAUACAGUUGAGAGGCAUAAAGUUUUGAGCUUUAGCCAAAGUUUAAGUACUGGUGGAACAGGAUUUCUAAAUAAAAGUCCUGAGAAAUGAAGGACACGAAAGCAUAGCUGUAGAUGUGGAUAUCCAGUUAGGAAGAUCAUUCUGCCAUCUCUCUUCAGAGCUGAGAAGAAGCUUCAUCAUCCAGGUCUAGCAGAAAACUCUAUUCAAGCAUGUACAGUUCUCCAAAUCUGCUCCAACUCCUGUCAUCCAUUGUCAAAACAAGAGUAAGGUGAACGAAAAGACGCUGUGUGCAAAGGCACAGAAACAAAUUCUAAUGUAGCUGUUUUAAUUAUGGAUAUUUAUUGUUCUGUGGGUUACCUGCCAUUCAUUUUCCCUGCUGACAAACAGCUGAAGACGUGUUUUGAAUGUCACUUGACUUCUUCAACCACAUUUGUCAUACUAGUAUCUAUUUAUAUAGAGAUGCAGUCAGCUUGAGAAAAAAUAAGAAGAUGGUGGCCCUGAGAUCUAAAGAAUCAGAACCUUCUUUGCUGGAAGUUACUUCUGCCUGAGUUUUUAAACUGAUGCUUUCUGAAGGCCAGGAAAUCAAAUAAAAAAAAAUAAAAGCAGGAUGUAAUGUUGUGUCUGCAUGUAGUCCAGAAAGCCCAUGUAAAAAAAUCCUCCAAUACAGCAGUGAAAGAGAGAUGAACAAAUGUGGAAUAUGUUAUAAUCAAAAAGCCAUGGAAAUAUAAAAUAGAUAACCAGAUCCAUAAAGCUAAGGUCUACCACAUCUUCAUGUCACUAUCAAGAUGACUAACUUUGGGAUUGAUGAGCCAGAUUGGUUUCAGCAGUAUCCAACACCAAAAGCAGCAUGACAACCCCUUCUUCAUUUACUACUGGGGUAGAUACCGAGAGUCCAGACUGUAAUAAGUACUUGAUUUGUGACUCAGAGCUGCAGGGGACUGUAAUGUCUGAAGACUUAGAGUUAGAGGAUGAAAUAUACUCUUCACUCUUCAUUUCACAGAAAAAGAAAAGACGUGGAAACAUAAAGGAGCUUCAUCAUCUGCUCUCCCUGGGGAAAAAAAAAUCAUGCUGACAAAGACUUCUUUUGAAAAGCUGGAAGAGGAACAUUUGCUGUGAUAUAUUGAUCCUUUGGAAGCAGCUGAUAGUGGCGAAGCCCACUCCAUCACCUAGGAGUCUGACAAUCCUGGUCCCAGCAGGUGACAGGAUGGAGGAGGAAGAUGAAUCAUUUGGAUUCUGCUGCCAUGGACUGAAUUAUCUCUGACUUAUCUCUGAAACAACUGAUGUGUCCUCCCAGAGAUGUAGCCUGCAGCCCCCACUCCAGGACUGCUUCCUAACAGGAAGCCUCUACCGCCUCCACCUCUGCUGUAUAGGAGUUGUAGCUGUAUAUGCUAUGAGGAGACUGACCCUGUCCACAGCCACAUGUGCAUGACAUAGCUGCAUACAUUGAAGGUGAAUUUCUGUGACAGCACCCAGUGCAGCAGGGGAGCUACUGUGGCCUUUGUAUCUGCCAAAUAUGUCAGCAGUGACCCCACAUCCUCCUCUUCUUGCUAACCCAAUAUCACAAAGAUGGUAUGAACCAUUUUCCUAGAAAUCGAAAGUUGUUUUCCUAACAAACAACUACUGUAUGGUUGUCUGAGAGGAUUGGAUUGCUGCAGAAUGUGUUUCAGGUCUGGAAGAUUUAAGGCUGGCAUCUAAACAGGGAGAGAGAAGAUAAGCAAUGCAAGUAUAUGUGUAUGUGAGUGUGUACAGUUAUUUUCAUUACAAACGAUAAAAAGAUAUAUAAGGUAUAUAUCAAAACACAUACAAAAGCUACAUACAAGAGAAAUAUUUUGAUUGCAUACCCAUUCACCUUUGUGAUAAUGUUUAUUUUUAGUCACCCUGUUCAGUGCUGAGAGCUUUUAUGGAUUUUACUUAGCAGUGAAGUGAUGCUCAAAUGACUGAUACCAGAACUUUUGUGAAACCUAUUCAUAGUAGUGCCCACGGUUAAUGAUUCAAUAAGGAGAUUUAUGAAGUAUUUUUUUCCCCAGUGAUCUCAAGUGACACACAGUAAAAGCAGCGAGCUUUUGAUGUGCUGACAUUUGUUCCUGGGGAAAAAAAAUAAAAGAGCAAUAGCAUAUUGUAAAAUUUCAGCCUUCAGAUGCUAAAAAUAGGAGGAAAUGGAAGAAAAGAAUUGCUUGAAGUCAGAAACCAACAAGACAAUAUGUAGUGCUUCUGUGCUUCAAAGCAGGCUGACUCAGAAGCUAAUGUUUUGGUAGAAAAGGUCAUGAAGAAAAUGGUUUAUGAUCUCAGUGAUUUUUAUAUCAAGUGAUUCUUAGGUCUCCAACUACAUAGCUGCUACCUGAUGCAAAAAAAUUCAACCAGUCUGUUAAUAGCAGAAAAUAUUGCAAGUGAGUGCAAUUGCAGGAUGUGGGGAGUGGGGACAGAAGAAAUAACAUGGAUGAGAAGUAUUGAGGGUUUUUGUGAAGAGUGCCUCAAUCCAGAUGAAAAAUAGAACAAAAGAUGCUCCCAUAUAACACAGUAGGAUGAACUAAAUUUAUCAAUAAAUAACUGUACUAAUAAUAGGAAGAUUGAUAUUGAUACCACUUCAGCAUUUUUCUGUGUUUCCUUCCAAUUGUGCUUUUCAUCUUGAAAGGAGCUGAGAAGGGGAUUCUCACCUAAGGUAGGAAUAGUUUAGCAUUAAAGAGAGUCAGCUGAAGUAGGGGCAGAGUGAGGAAGGGAAGGUAGCUGUUUCCAAACCAGCUAGGAGAAAGGAAAACUUACUUCUUUCAUCUGUAGCUUGAAAAAUGCACUAAUUUUUAUCAUUAAUGAAUAUGAAGGAACAAAGAGGGGGAAAAACCCAAGAUUUAUUGGGAUAAGAGAUUAGCUCAGUUGGUUAGAGCAUGGUGCUAGUUGGAUUCGAUGAUCCUUGUGAGUCCCUUCAGAAUAUAGAAUAAUCAGAGUAUUCUGUGAAGUCUGUGAAGAAGGUUAACCCUCAUCACUGUAUCUGAAUGGGGGGUGACAAGAGGAUGGAGUCACACUCUUCUUGGUGGUGCCAGUCAAUAAAGACAAGAGGUAAUGGGCAGAAACUGAUGCACAGGAAGUUCCACCUGAAUAUGAGGAAGAACUUCAUUACUGUGUGGGUGACUGAGCACUGGAACAGAUUGUCCAGAGAGGUUGUGGAGAUUCCGGCACUGGAGAUAUUCAAGAACCGUGUGGAUGCAAUCCUGUGCCAUGAUGACCCUGCUUAAGCAGGGAGGUUGGACCAGAUGACCCUUGUGGUCUCUUCCAGCCUGACCAGGUCUGUGAUGCUGUGAUUCUGUGAAUAGAUCUGAAACUGAAGAAGAUGUCAGGCUUUCCAAGUCGUAGGGGGUUUUUUUUGAUAGCUCAAGACCUCGAAAGUUUUAAGAGUGGUGCUGUUGCUUUUUGUGCUGUGACUGAUAAACAGCUGCUGGUUUCCUGCCUACUCCCCACCCUUGGGCAGUGUUACCUGCUGGAAAAAUCCCCGUGCCAUCAACUGAAGAAGGGUGUUUACCUAAAGGUACCAAAGUACAAAAAAACAUGCUAUAAUAUGUUUAGAUGUUUUCAUAUCGGCAUUGUUCUCCAAGGACUCUUUUCCUACUCUUCGGUAAGCGGGACAUUCAGCCAGCUCCGCCCAGCCACAACCCGCUGAGCAGCCGCCCUGGCCGGCGCGGCACUCCCUCUGCUGGCCAAAGGUGGCUACUGCAGGCGCCGGCCCUGCCGCUCUGCCCCGCUCCUAUUUCUUACUGGGGAAAGUCGCGUCCCGUCCCGCCCACCCCGAGUCCUCCGUCCGCUCGCCUCGCGAUGCUUUUUUGCAGUUUGGGGAGGAUAGAGUCGCGCAACCGAUCUCCCAUGAGGAAAGGCUGAGAGAGCUGGGGUUGUUCAGCUUGGAGAAGGCUCCAGGGAGACUUCCAAUACCUAAAGAGGGCUACAAGAGAGCUGGAGAAGGACUUUUACAAGGCACAGAAGGGCCAAAUAGAGUGUACUUCACUGAGGAUCUCUAUCCCUGCUAAAGGUGGAUUAUUUCAAUGCUCUGAAGGCCUUCAGCACCUACAGAGGUGUGACUGACAGGGAGCAGUCAGUGGUGUUUGUGCUCAGUUGGUGCCAGAAGGCAGCUGAACCCGCAGCAGACUUGGACCUGAAGCCAGGCAGUGUGAGGCAGGUCAGUGGAAAGGAAGUCUUCUUGCCUCAUCCUCACUACAGCAUCCUGGGUCCUCCUCUGCCUCCUGGAGAUACCGUCUUCCCCGGAAGCUCCUGGACAUGAUCCGAGGAGGGAAGAUUCACAACUGAAGGACAGAGCAGACAGAAGGGAAAUGGAAGAUCCAGCAAGGAAACAGCACAGCAAACAUGGGUGGGUGACUCCUGAGGAGACCACCACCAAAAUCACAGCCAAAACAGGAGAGAAGGAAAAAAAUCACCCUCCCCUAAGGUUUGAGAGAUGGCAGUGCGGCCACUUGGGAAGUCACUGAGUUGUUAGUUGGAAAGCAAGAUUGAAUGUGAAGGCUGGCUCUGCUAUGAUACUUGGGACUGGAAGACCCUCAAAUUCUCUUCUGUCUUCCCUUUUCAUUUUGAGUUUUCUCAGAUUUAGAAGUAUGCUCUUCUAGUAUCUGUUCUGAAAUAAACUGGUUUCUAAUUGUAAAA